AGAGUUUGGAUCAUGGGCGCAGAUCGAACGCUGGCGGCAUGCCUAACACAUGCAAGUCGAACGGAAACGAUGGUAGCUUGCUACCAGGCGUCGAGUGGCGGACGGGGGAGUAAAGCGUAGGAAUCUGCCUUGGGGUUGGAGUGGGGGACAACAUGGGGAAACUCAUGCUAAUACCGCAUACACCCUACGGGGGAAAGCGGGGGAUCUUCGGACCUCGCGCUCUAAGAUGAGCCUGCGUCGGAUUAGCUAGUUGGUGAGGUAAUGGCUCACCAAGGCGACGAUCCGUAGCUGGUCUGAGAGGACGACCAGCCACACUGGGACUGAGACACGGCCCAGACUCCUACGGGAGGCAGCAGUGGGGAAUAUUGGACAAUGGGGGCAACCCUGAUCCAGCAAUGCCGCGUGUGUGAAGAAGGCCUUCGGGUUGUAAAGCACUUUCAGCAGCGAGGAAAAGCCUAGGGUUAAUAUCCAUGGGUCUUGACGUUAACUGCAGAAGAAGCACCGGCUAGCAUCGUGCCAGCAGACGCGGUAAUACGAAGGUUGCAAGCGUUAAUCGGAAUUACUGGGCGUAAAGCGCGCGCGUAGGCGGUUAGAUAAGUUGGGUGUGAAAUCCCUGGGCUCAACCUAGGAACUGCAUUCGAUACUGCAUAGCUAGAUUAUGGUAGAGGGAAGUGGAAUUUCCGGUGUAGCGGUGAAAUGCGUAGAUUUCAGAAGGAACCCUAGUGGCGAAGGCGACUCACUGGACUGUAUCUGACGCUGAGGUGCGAAAGCGUGGGUAGCAAACAGGAUUAGAUACCCUGGUAGUCCACGCUGUAAACGAUGAGUACUAGAUGUUAGACGGCGUUGACUGUUUAGUAUCGAAGCUAACGCGUUAAGUACUCCGCCUGGGGAGUACGCCGGCAACGGUAAAACUCAAAGGAAUUGACGGGGACCCGCACAAGCGGUGGAGCAUGUGGUUUAAUUCGAUGCAACGCGAAGAACCUUACCUGCCCUUGACAUUGACAGAAUCCUCUAGAGAUACGGGGGGAGUGCUUCGGCCUGGAAAACAGGUGCUGCAUGGCUGUCGUCAGCUCGUGUCGUGAGAUGUUGGGUUAAGUCCCGCAACGAGCGCAACCCUUGUCCUUAGUUGCCAGCACGUAAUGGUGGGAACUCUAAUGGGACUGCCGCUGAUAAGGCGGAGGAAGGUGGGGACGACGUCAAGUCAUCAUGGCCCUUACGGGUAGGGCUACACACGUGCUACAAUGGUUGUUACAGAGGGAUGCGAAGCAGUGAUGUGGAGCGAAACCCAGAAAGGCAAUCGUAGUCCGGAUUGGAGUCUGCAACUCGACUCCAUGAAGUUGGAAUCGCUAGUAAUCGCGAAUCAGAAUGUCGCGGUGAAUACGUUCCCGGGUCUUGUACACACCGCCCGUCACACCAUGGGAGUGGGUUGCAAAAGAAGUGGGUAGACUAACCUUCGGGGGGUCGCUCACCACUUUGUGAUUCAUGACUGGGGUGAAGUCGGAACAAGGUAGCC
rnacentral:rRNA from 1 species